rnacentral:rRNA from 1 species
UACGAAGGGUGCAAGCGUUACUCGGAAUUACUGGGCGUAAAGCGUGCGUAGGUGGUGAGUUAAGUCUGUCGUGAAAGCCCCGGGCUCAACCUGGGAAUGGCGAUGGAUACUGGCUCGCUAGAGUGCGGUAGAGGAGAGUGGAAUUCCCGGUGUAGCAGUGAAAUGCGUUGAUAUCGUUCGGAACACCGAAAGCGAAGGCAGGUUACUGGGUGCCACCUGACACUGCUAGGACGAAAGCGUGGGGAGCGAAUGGG